rnacentral:rRNA from 1 species
GAUGAACGCUGGCGGCGUGCCUAAUACAUGCAAGUCGAGCGAACAGACGAGGAGCUUGCUCCUCUGACGUUAGCGGCGGACGGGUGAGUAACACGUGGAUAACCUACCUAUAAGACUGGGAUAACUUCGGGAAACCGGAGCUAAUACCGGAUAAUAUAUUGAACCGCAUGGUUCAAUAGUGAAAGACGGUUUUGCUGUCACUUAUAGAUGGAUCCGCGCCGCAUUAGCUAGUUGGUAAGGUAACGGCUUACCAAGGCGACGAUGCGUAGCCGACCUGAGAGGGGGGUCCGCCCACGUGGGACCUGGACCCGGUCCAGGCCGCCGAGGGGGGGAGCAGGGAGGUAUGCUUCCGGAUGGGGCAAAGGCUGGAAGGGUCAGCCCGGGGGGGGGAAGAAGGUUUUUGGUAUCUAAAAAUUGUGUUAUGAGAAAAAAAAAAUGGUUUAAGUAAUUAGCCACUCCUACGCGGAACCUAAUAAGAAGACCACGACAAGCUACGUC